GACGAACGCUGGCGGCGUGCUUAACACAUGCAAGUCGAACGGGUCUGCCCUGUUUUUUGCGGGGUGGGUCAGUGGCGAACGGGUGAGUAACACGUGAGUAACCUGCCCCUCACUUCUGGAUAACCGCUUGAAAGGGUGGCUAAUACGGGGUGUUCUGGCUGUGCCGCAUGGUGUGGCUGGGAAAGAUUCACUUUUGUGGUGUUUUGGUGGGGGAUGGGCUCGCGGCCUAUCAGCUUGUUGGUGGGGUGAGGGCCUGCCAAGGCUUUGACGGGUAGCCGGCCUGAGAGGGUGGGCGGUCACACGGGGACUGAGAUACGGCCCAGACUCCUGCGGGAGGCAGCAGUGGGGGGUAUUGCACAAUGGGCGGAAGCCUGAUGCAGCGACGUCGCGUGAGGGAUGGAGGCCUUCGGGUUGUGAACCUCUUUCGCCGGUGAAGAAGGUCCUGCUCUUUGUGGUGGGGUUGACGGUAGCCGGGUUAUGAAGCGCCGGCUAACUACGUG
rnacentral:rRNA from 1 species